UGGGGGAAUAUUGGGCAAUGGGCGCAAGCCUGACCCAGCAACGCCGCGUGAAGGAAGAAGGCUUUCGGGUUGUAAACUUCUUUUAUCAGGGACGAUAAUGACGGUACCUGAUGAAUAAGCUCCGGCUAACUACGUGCCAGCAGCCGCGGUAAUACGUAGGGAGCAAGCGUUAUCCGGAUUUACUGGGUGUAAAGGGCGUGUAGGCGGGACAACAAGUCAGAUGUGAAAACUAUGGGCUCAACCCAUAGCCUGCAUUUGAAACUGUCGUUCUUGAGUGCUGGAGAGGCAAAUGGAACUCCUAGUGUAGCGGUGAAAUGCGUAGAUAUUAGGAAGAACACCAGUGGCGAAGGCGAUUUGCUGGACAGUAACUGACGCUGAUGCGCGAAAGUGU
rnacentral:rRNA from 1 species